GCCUAGCUGCUGCAGGAAGUUUGAUGGGACCAAACCUCGUCGUCCGUGCAGAUCCCCCUAAAACUUCGGUAACUUCCUACAGUUACACCCUUUCACACCAGGCAGCUGCCCAGUGCCAACAGCCUCUCACAGCAGAUCAACCAACUACAGACUUCUGUACCUUGUUCAACAAUGACUGUUGAAGGUAGCGAGCAUCGCUUUCUGAGAUAACGUCCCCAUGUGUGACCCCUACAUUACCAAGUACAUCUACUCAGGUACAGUUUUGAGGUAUCUGUACUUUACUGAAGUAUUUCCAUUUCAUGACACUUGAUACUUCUGCUCCAGCUACCACAUUUCAGAGGUACCACACUUUUUACUCUGCUUUAUUUAUCCGACGACUACAGAUACUUUGAUUUUACAUACAGAAGAUAUGAUCAGCUUAUACGAUAUGAUUCACUAUUACACAUUAAAGCUCCGCUGGGACGGAUAAAGUUAUAGCUUGUCCUGCAACAAAACUAACAGGCGCUCCUGAAGUCCUGACAAAAUAGUUUUGAUCUUGUUUUACAAGAUAAUGACCUGUGUGUACAUAAUAUUGUCUUGUGCGCACAGGAAAAUCAUCUUUAAUUUAACACCCUUCUGCAAAAUUCUGCAAAAUGAGUGCUUUUACUUUGGAUAAUUAAAGCACAUAUGGCCGGUAAUACUUAUGCACUUUUAUUGAAGCAGAAUUUUGAAAGCAGGACUUUAACUUGUAGCAGCAUUUUACGUUGUGGUAUCGCUAUUUCAACUUCAGUGAGGAUUCUGAGUACUUCUUCCACCACUGCUGCUCUGCCAGUGGACGGUGGUCUGCAGAAGCAGAGGGUGGAUACCUGCGUGGUCCACGGGGAGGAAUCCCUGCUGCAUGAGCAGAUGCUUCAGGUACUCAUCGGCCACUGGGAUCUCAGCCACCAUGUUACCCGGCACAUAACCGGAGAGACCACCGGACUCCCCGUGGUAGAAACCGUCGGAGUCUUUGUCUCCGAACACCUAACAAGUGCGGAGACAGGCAGUUAUUGUGACUUUAUCUCGGGCUUUGGAAGAAAAAGAAACGUAUGCGUGUGCAUUUGCAUGUUGCAGCGGUAGUCAGGUUCAAUUACAGGGCAGCAAAUCACACGAAUCAGUUGAAAAUGGUGACAGGAAAGACAACAAAAAAAAAAAAAAAAAAGCUCAUAUCUACGUGCACAUUCACUUGGCCUGAAUCUAGCACAAACAGGAAACACCAUCAUGUUCUUUCAAAGAGGCUUUUCAACUGAUGCAGUGAGGAAAUAAAACUCAAAGACGCGAGCACACUCGGUGCUGAACUGUACGCCACGGGCACCGAAGUGUUACACUUCCACGUGAAGUCACAAAGGUAAGACACGUUGCCGGUCCUUUACCUUGAUGAUCUGGCCCGGCACAAAAGGUAGCUCCUCCGCAGCUGUCUCGGGGUUGGGAGACAUGGCCGCGGGGUUGUAUGGGUAGAGCGCCACAAAGAGUCGGACGGUGGGAAUGGACACCUGGCUCGCAGUCUCAAGCUCCCAUUCCCUGAGAUCCUCCGGAGUAGCGAUCCUCACUUCAUUCGGGUAUAUCAAAACGUCCAGCUCCAGACUUGUCUCCAUUUAAGACCGGCGUGAGUGCUCGACUGUCCGCUGGGCAGACAGAUGGCCGCUGCGCGCAGCGCAUCUCUCCCUUCCCUCAUCCUAAUUUGAGGUAACUAAGCUAAGCAGAAGGGACAGUAAUCCUCUUUGAGGCAAGUGGAUGGAUUCAUUAGCUCAGCACUGCCUGUUGCACUGUAAGACUCUACGUGCAACAUAAUAGGAGCCAUGUUUUUUUCAAAAAGUUCCUAAAGAAACCACUAAUGUUACGUGGGUCAGAUAAUAGCAGGUAGUUCUUAUCGGCUGCUCUAAUGCAACUUUGCCAAAAACCCACUGAAGAUGGAGGUACCUUGUGGCUUUUGGAGCCCCUUGGGGUCUGGGGCCCCUGGGCAGUUACCUUUCCCCGGUUGGUAAUCCCACCUUGCUAGUAUCUGGCAAAUAUUACAAAAAGGGUGCAAUGAUAAAUACAUUACUGUAAGAACUGUUUGGAAAACCUGUAUUUCCCUUAAUGUGCAUUGAAAAAUAAUCGGUUUUAUGCCCAGUACUGUAAUAUAAAAGUAGAGAAAAGAGAUAUAAACCUGUGAUUUUCUAACAAACGGGUGUUUUACUUUUCACGAGAAAUAGCUCAAUCUUCAUAGAAAACAAUUAAGUUGAAGCAUAACCGUGAAUGUACAUUAAUAUAAGGCUUUUUAUUUCUGCACAGGUUCCUGUCUUACAGGCCUGACUUCAUCUACUUGGUCACCACCUCCUCUCCUUGACUUCUGGCCAGGUCAGCGGGUGGUAAUCUCCUGCUGCAGGGGCAGAAGAAGGUUAAACAAAUCUCCCUCUCUCUCUCUCUCAGUCUGUGUUAGUGUGUGUUUGUGUGCGUUGUAGUCUAUGUGUUUGUUACUUAGAUUUUCGAACGCUCACCCCUCUGCCUUCACACUUGAUGUUCUUUUUUAUUAAGUCACCAGGGAAAUAAAGAGCAUUAGUAUUCAUGCUCCUUGUUCGCUGAUUAGUUCAUCUACAAUCUCAUGUUUGAAAAAAUACAUUUGCCAACAUGGAGCUUUUUUUUUUUUUUUACUUGCACGCGUUCCCCUUUAGUUGUUAACAAGGUUUU